GACCCCGUAGCUCAAUUGGAUAGAGCAAUUCCCUCCUAAGGAAUAGGUUGUGUGUUCAAACCACAUCGGGGUCG
rnacentral:tRNA from 1 species